rnacentral:rRNA from 1 species
AUUGAACGCUGGCGGCAGGCCUAACACAUGCAAGUCGAGCGGAUGAAGGGAGCUUGCUCCUGGAUUCAGCGGCGGACGGGUGAGUAAUGCCUAGGAAUCUGCCUGGUAGUGGGGGAUAACGUCCGGAAACGGGCGCUAAUACCGCAUACGUCCUGAGGGAGAAAGUGGGGGAUCUUCGGACCUCACGCUAUCAGAUGAGCCUAGGUCGGAUUAGCUAGUUGGUGGGGUAAAGGCCUACCAAGGCGACGAUCCGUAACUGGUCUGAGAGGAUGAUCAGCCACACUUGAACCUGGACACCGGUCAGACUCCCACGGGAAGGAGGAGGUGGGAAUAUUUGACCAAUGGGGGAAGGCUUGACCAAGCAAGGCGGGGUGGGUGAAGAAGGCCUUCGGAUGGUAAAGCCCUUUAGGUUGGGAGGAAGGGAAGUAAGUUAAUCCCUGCUGUUUUGACGUUACCAACAGAAUAAGCACCGGCUAACUUCGUG